GAUGAACGCUGACAGAAUGCUUAACACAUGCAAGUCUACUUGAACUUCGGUUUGGGUGGCGGACGGGUGAGUAACGCGUAAAGAACUUGCCUCACAGUUAGGGACAACAUUUGGAAACGAAUGCUAAUACCUGAUAUUAUGAUUUUAGGGCAUCCUAGGAUUAUGAAAGCUAUAUGUGCUGUGAGAGAGCUUUGCGUCCCAUUAGCUAGUUGGAGAGGUAACGGCUCACCAAGGCGAUGAUGGGUAGCCGGCCUGAGAGGGUGAACGGCCACAAGGGGACUGAGGCACGGCCCUUACUCCUACGGGAGGCAGCAGUGGGGAAUAUUGGACAAUGGACCAAAAGUCUGAUCCAGCAAUUCUGUGUGCACGAUGACGUUUUUCGGAAUGUAAAGUGCUUUCAGUUGGGAAGAAAAAAAUGACGGUACCAACAGAAGAAGUGACGGCUAAAUACGUG
rnacentral:rRNA from 1 species